rnacentral:rRNA from 1 species
AACGAACGCUGGCGGCAGGCCUAACACAUGCAAGUCGAGCGAACCCUUCGGGGUUAGCGGCGGACGGGUUAGUAACGCGUGGGAAUAUGCCCAAAGGUACGGAAUAGCCUCGGGAAACUGAGAGUAAUACCGUAUGUGCCCUUCGGGGAAAGAUUAUCGCCUUUGGAUUAGCCCGCGUUGGAUUAGGUAGUUGGUGGGGUAAGUGGCCUACCAAGCCGACGAUCCAUAGCUGGUUUGAGAGGAUGAUCAGCAACACUGGGACUGAGACACGGCCCAGACUCCUACGGGAGGCAGCAGUGGGGAAUCUUAGACAAUGGGGGAAACCCUGAUCUAGCCAUGCCGCGUGGACGAUGAAGGCCUUAGGGUUGUAAAGUCCUUUCAGCUGGGAAGAUAAUGACGGUACCAGCAGAAGAAGCCCCGGCUAACUCCGUGCCACGCAGCCGCGGUAAAGUCGAUAUCG